rnacentral:rRNA from 1 species
UACAGAGGUCUCAAGCGUUGUUCGGAUUCAUUGGGCGUAAAGGGUGCGUAGGUGGCGCCGUAAGUCGGGUGUGAAAUUUCGGAGCUUAACUCCGAAACUGCAUUCGAUACUGCGGUGCUUGAGGACUGGAGAGGAGACUGGAAUUCAUGGUGUAGCAGUGAAAUGCGUAGAGAUCAUGAGGAAGACCAGUGGCGAAGGCGGGUCUCUGGACAGUCCUGACACUGAGGCACGAAGGCCAGGGGAGCAAACGGG